CAGUAUCCACGGUAAUACAGAGGGUGCGAGCGUUAAUCGGAUUUACUGGGCGUAAAGCGUGCGUAGGCGGCUUUUUAAGUCGGAUGUGAAAUCCCUGAGCUUAACUUAGGAAUUGCAUUCGAUACUGGGAAGCUAGAGUAUGGGAGAGGAUGGUAGAAUUCCAGGUGUAGCGGUGAAAUGCGUAGAGAUCUGGAGGAAUACCGAUGGCGAAGGCAGCCAUCUGGCCUAAUACUGACGCUGAGGUACGAAAGCAUGGGGAGCAAACAGGAUUAGAUACCCGCGUAGUCCCUGUCUCUUAUAA
rnacentral:rRNA from 1 species